rnacentral:rRNA from 1 species
GACGAACGCUGGCGGCGUGCCUAAUACAUGCAAGUAGAACGCUGAAGAGAGGAGCUUGCUCUUCUUGGAUGAGUUGCGAACGGGUGAGUAACGCGUAGGUAACCUGCCUUGUAGCGGGGGAUAACUAUUGGAAACGAUAGCUAAUACCGCAUAACAAUGGAUGACACAUGUCAUUUAUUUGAAAGGGGCAAUUGCUCCACUACAAGAUGGACCUGCGUUGUAUUAGCUAGUAGGUGAGGUAAUGGCUCACCUAGGCGACGAUACAUAGCCGACCGUGGAGGGGGAUCGGCCCCACUGGGACCGAGACCCGGCCCAGACUCCUACGGGAGGCAGCAGUAGGGAAUCUUCGGCAAUGGGGGCAACCCUGACCGAGCAACGCCGCGUGAGUGAAGAAGGUUUUCGGAUCGUAAAGCUCUGUUGUAAGUCAAGAACGGGUGUGAGAGUGGAAAGUUCACACUGUGACGGUAGCUUACCAGAAAGGGACGGCUAACUACGUG